ACGGAGCCCCGACAAGGCGGCUUCCGGACGAGGGGUGCCGUACCCGGUGUGCGACAAGACGGCCCGCA
rnacentral:ncRNA from 1 species